UCUGUGUAUUUUGAUUGGUUCCUGUGGAGAAGAGAAGGGGUGUGGCAGGUCAGCUCUUCGCUUGAGCAUUUGUCAGGGGCAUCAUUGAGUCACCAAGAGCCCAAGUUCUAUUUUCCCCAAAGCUGGGCUGGGUGACUCGAGAUUCUGUCCUGGACCUGAAAUGGGCCCCCGGCUCUUCUUCUAUGUGGCCCUUUGUCUCCUGGCAGCAGGACACACGGAUGCGGGAAUCACCCAAAACCCAAGACACAAGAUCACAGAGAUAGGAAAGCAGGUGACACUGAGUUGUCACCAGAAUGACAACCACUUCUAUAUGUACUGGUAUCGACAAGACCUGGGACAUGGGCUGAGGCUGAUCUAUUACUCAGUUGAUGCUCAAAGCACUGACAAAGAAGAAGUCGCCGAAGGCUACAAAGUCUCUAGAUCAAACAAAGAGGAUUUCCUCCUUUUUCUGGAGUCUGCUACCCGCUCCCAGACAUCUGUGUACUUCUGUGCCAGCAGUGAAUAA